GUAGGGAAUAUUGGUGAAUGGGCGAAAGCCCGAACCAGCAACGCCGCGUGUGCGAUGAAGGCCUUCGGGUUGUAAAGCACUUUUCUCUGGGAAGAGGAAGGACGGUACCAGAGGAAUAAGCCUCGGCUAACUACGUGCCAGCAGCCGCGGUAAAACGUAGGAGGCGAGCGUUAUCCGGAUUUACUGGGUGUAAAGCGCGAGCAGGCGGCUCGCUAAGUUGGGUGUGAAAGCUCCCGGCUCAACUGGGAGAGGUCGCUCAAGACUGGCGGGCUAGAGGGUGGUAGAGGAAGGUGGAAUUCCGGGUGUAGUGGUGAAAUGCGUAGAUAUCCGGAGGAACACCAGUGGCGAAAGCGGCCUUCUGGGCCACCCCUGACGCUCAGACGCGAAAGCUAGGGUAGCAAACGGGAUUAGAUACCCGAGUAGUCC
rnacentral:rRNA from 1 species